UACGAAGGGGGCUAGCGUUAUUCGGAAUUACUGGGCGUAAAGCGCACGUAGGCGGCUUUGUAAGUAAGAGGUGAAAGCCUGGUGCUCAACACCAGAACUGCCUUUUAGACUGCAUCGCUUGAAUCAUGGAGAGGUGAGUGGAAUUCCGAGUGUAGAGGUGAAAUUCGUAGAUAUUCGGAAGAACACCAGUGGCGAAGGCGGCUCACUGGACAUGUAUUGACGCUGAGGUGCGAAAGCGUGGGGAGCAAACAGG
rnacentral:rRNA from 1 species